UAGAGGAAGUAAAAGUCGUAACAAGGUUUCCGUAGGUGAACCUGCGGAAGGAUCAUUACAGUAGUCGCCCGGGUUGCCGCAAGGCCUCCCGGGUAACCUACCACCCUUUGUUUAUUACACUUUGUUGCUUUGGCAAGCCUGCCCUCGGGCUGCUGGCUCCGGCCGGCGAGCGCUUGCCAGAGGACCUAAACUCUGUUUGUCUAUACUGUCUGAGUACUAUAUAAUAGUUAAAACUUUCAACAACGGAUCUCUUGGUUCUGGCAUCGAUGAAGAACGCAGCGAAAUGCGAUAAGUAAUGUGAAUUGCAGAAUUCAGUGAAUCAUCGAAUCUUUGAACGCACAUUGCGCCCCCUGGUAUUCCGGGGGGCAUGCCUGUCCGAGCGUCAUUACAACCCUCAAGCUCAGCUUGGUGUUGGGCCCCGCCGCCCCGGCGGGCCCUAAAGUCAGUGGCGGUGCCGUCCGGCUCCGAGCGUAGUAAUUCUUCUCGCUCUGGAGGCCCGGUCGUGUGCUCGCCAGCAACCCCCAAUUUUUUUCAGGUUGACCUCGGAUCAGGUAGGGAUACCCGCUGAACUUAAGCAUAUCA
rnacentral:rRNA from 1 species